GGCUGGCUCAGCUGGAAGAGCAUGUGACUCUUAAUCUCUCAGUUGUGAGUUCAAGUCCCACAGCCG
rnacentral:tRNA from 1 species